AGCAGUCGCCACGGGAACACGGAGGGUGCAAGCGUUAAUCGGAAUUACUGGGCGUAAAGCGUGCGUAGGCGGUUCGUUAAGUCUGUUGUGAAAGCCCCGGGCUCAACCUGGGAAUGGCAAUGGAUACUGGCGAGCUAGAGUGUGUCAGAGGAUGGUGGAAUUCCCGGUGUAGCGGUGAAUUGCGUAGAGAUCGGGAGGAACACCAGUGGCGAAGGCGACUACCUGGUCUGGCAUUGACGCUCAUGUGCGAAAGCGUGGGGAGCAAACAGGAUUAGAUACCCCAGUAGUCCCUGUCUCUUAUAC
rnacentral:rRNA from 1 species